CUCAUUCCCUCCCUCCUUUCCUUUCUCUCCCUGUAAGGUGAGGGCACAGCUACGAGUCAGUCCAUGGCAAAGGCAUGGGGGAGACUAGGAAUGAGCAUCAGACAAGCAGAGCUAACAGAUCCACUUCUUGGGGGUAUCUGAGCAGAUGUCACACAGACACGGCUCCCAGUAUGUGCUCUUCACACAGAUGGUGCCUCUAUACCGGACAACCACCCCAAGCUGAAUACAAAUGACAAGCAAACAUAUUCAAAAUCCAUAAAAGAGCGCUGUCCAGCUCCAAGACCACCCACAUCCAGGACAAGUUCCCAGAGGAAGCGUCACUGUGGAGUCAAGGACCUGAAAGGAGAUGAUGAGCGCGGUUCACAGAGGUGCUUGGAACU